AUUGAACGCUGGCGGCAUGCCUUACACAUGCAAGUCGAACGGCAGCACGGAGCUUGCUCUGGUGGCGAGUGGCGAACGGGUGAGUAAUAUAUCGGAACGUACCCUGGAGUGGGGGAUAACGCAGCGAAAGUUGCGCUAAUACCGCAUACGAUCUACGGAUGAAAGUGGGGGAUCGCAAGACCUCAUGCUCGUGGAGCGGCCGAUAUCUGAUUAGCUAGUUGGUAGGGUAAAAGCCUACCAAGGCAUCGAUCAGUAGCUGGUCUGAGAGGACGACCAGCCACACUGGGACUGAGACACGGCCCAGACUCCUACGGGAGGCAGCAGUGGGGAAUUUUGGACAAUGGGGGCAACCCUGAUCCAGCAAUGCCGCGUGAGUGAAGAAGGCCUUCGGGUUGUAAAGCUCUUUUGUCAGGGAAGAAACGGUGAUUCUUAAUACGGAUUGCUAAUGACGGUACCUGAAGAAUAAGCACCGGCUAACUACGUGCCAGCAGCCGCGGUAAUACGUAGGGUGCAAGCGUUAAUCGGAAUUACUGGGCGUAAAGCGUGCGCAGGCGGUUAUGUAAGUCAGAUGUGAAAUCCCCGGGCUCAACCUGGGAAUGGCAUUUGAGACUGCAUGGCUAGAGUGUGUCAGAGGGGGGUAGAAUUCCACGUGUAGCAGUGAAAUGCGUAGAUAUGUGGAGGAAUACCGAUGGCGAAGGCAGCCCCCUGGGAUAACACUGACGCUCAUGCACGAAAGCGUGGGAGCAAACAGGAUUAGAUACCCUGGUAGUCCACGCCCUAAACGAUGUCUACUAGUUGUCGGGUCUUAAUUGACUUGGUAAC
rnacentral:rRNA from 1 species